CUGACUUGGAGAUUCUGUGAAGUGUGUCUAUUUUAGCCUAAAAUUUUAAUUUCCCCACAAUUCCUGUUUAAAUGAAUUACCGAGUAAGAGUCUGGCAGUGACCACAGUCACUAUCACUGCCUGUGACACAAGUAUAUCUCGCCAUGUUGCAAUGUUACAUUGUAUUUGUUUUUUGUUUUUGUUUCAUUUUUGUUUCUCAGAAACACCCUUGUUUGGAUACAGUAUAUGCAUGUCAGAUCUAGUCCAUUGCUGCCAUCUCAGCAGGUGCGUGGGUUGGUAAUUUAUCUGAAUUUCAUUUCUAGGGUUGCUCUAAGAAAUGCUAUCACUAUUGAAACCUGCAUUGCGGUCUAGUUGUGAAACUGAAAAAAAAAAAAAAAGGUUUAAACAUUUUCAUGCACCACUAAUCUGGCAAAAGACUAACUUUCCCGCAGUCAAAGUCUUAGAGAGCAAAAUAACUUGCUUUUGUUUCUGGCCUUAAAAUGUUAAUGGUCGACUCUCACCUCAAAGCUAUUCAAUAUAAAAAUGCUUCCAUCAAAUUUUGAAAGGAAAUAUAUUUUCUUUUAACCCCUUCCCAACCGUGGACGUAUUAGGUACGUCCGACAAACGGUCCUUAAGGACCACGGACAUAGUUGAUACGUCCGCAGCUAAUUAGAGCGCUGGAAGCGGUCAUGAUCGCUUCCAGCAGCUCUAAUGGUAUUGCAGCAAUGCCUCGAUGUCAAGGCAUCGUGCAGUACCUCUCCUUACUGCCGGGUGAUCGCUCCCCUUGGAGCGAUUACGUCCGGGUUGCUCCAUGUGAUGCCCAGCAGUCUUCCGAUGCUCUGCCUGUGUGCUGAGUGCCUCAAGGGGUCGAGGCACUCAGUGAAGAAAGAAGGAAGAAAAAAAAUUAAAUUAAUUAAACCUAUUAACCCCUCGCCCCCUUGACAUGUGGCUCCCAAGAUGGCGAUGCCUUUCAUCAUAGAGGCAGGCUAGGGACAUCCAAUCAGAGCUUGCUCCUAUAACAAUGUUUAUUCUAACUAUGAUCCCCAUUUGUCUGAUCAUGACAGUAUUGGUAAAUAUUGACUCUGAUCAGUGUGGAUAUCCCUCCCUCUCUUCACUUGUGUUUUAGUGAGAGAGGGAGAGAGAUCUGUGUUUUAGGUAGAGAGAUUUAGGUAGGUACCGUAUUUUUCGCUCCAUAAGACGCACUUUUUUUCCCCUCAAAAGUGAGGGGAAAUGUCUGUGCGUCUUAUGGAGCGAAUGUGAAGAUUUACUUACCUGUCUUGGAGCGUGGGCCGGCUUCACAGCGCGCUCCGCGGUCCAGGAACUUCUAUUUCAGGUUCCGGUUUCCGGCGGGACUGAAAGGAAGUGUACACACUGAGUGUGCACACUUCCUUUCAGUCCCGCCGGAAACCGGAACCUGAAAUAUUAGUUCCUGGACCGCGGAGCGCGCUGUGAAGCCAGCCCACGCUCCAAGACAGGUAAGUAAUUAUGGGACAAGGGGAGGGGGAGACACUAUGGGACAAGGGGAGGGGAGGAGACACUAUGGGACAAGGAGAGGGGGACACUAUGGGAGAAAGGGAGGGGAGGAGACACUAUGGGACAAGGGGAGGGGGAGACACUAUGGGACAAAGGGAGGGGGACACUAUGGGAGAAAGGGAGGGGAGACACUAUGGGACAAGGGGAGGGGGAGACACUAUGGGAGAAAGGGAGGGGAGACACUAUGGGACAGGGGGGGCACUAUGGGACAAGGGGAGGGGGGGACACUAUGAGACAAAGGGGAGGGGGGGACACUAUGGGACAAGGGGAGGGGGGACACUAUGGGACAAGGGGAGGGGACACACUAUGGGACAAGGGGAGGGGGAGACACUAUGGGACAAGGGCAGGGGGGGACACUAUGGGAGGGAAAGUGCACUAUGGGACAAUGGGAGGGGGGGACACUAUGGGAUCAGAACACUAAUGGACAAGGGGAGGAUGGGUUAAAGAACAUUAUGGGACAGGGUAGGAGGGGUUAACAAUCACUAUGGGACAGAGGAAAGGGGGGUUAAAGAUCAUUAUGGGACAGGGGAGAAAAAAAAAUAUUCUGAACAAACUGUCCCAUGGUAAGAAACACUAUGGAACAGUUUGUUCAGAAUAUUUUUUUUUCUGGGUUUCCUCCUCUAAAAACUAGGUGCGUCUUAUGGUGAGGUGCGUCUUAUGGAGCGAAAAAUACGGUAUUUGUAAAAUUGUGAGACCCAAAGGCUCUUUUCAGAGCCAUUAACCCCUAUCUUGCCAGUGAUAUAUAUAUAUAUAUAUAUAUAUAUAUAUAUAUAUAUAUAUAUAUAAUCACUGGCUCUUGCAAUCAACACCUUUUUGCUAUAUGUGCAUUUUUAGUGGGUCAUUUUUUAAAAUGUUUUUUUUUGUGACAGUUCAUCAAAGGAUCACUAUAUUGUCAGGAAAACAAACUUGUUUUCCUGACACUAUGUCAUCCUUGGGGGACCCUCACCCUCAGGGUCCCCCUCCAGUGGUGCUGAAGGGGUUAAAAUUUCUCAUUCAGCUUCGCAGAAGUGCCUCUAGCAGCUGUCAGGAAGACAGCCACUAGAGGUUGGAUUAACCCUGCUAUGUUUGCAUGUGAAGGGUUAAAUUUAACCUGAGGGACCUGGCGCCCAGACCACUUCAUUGAGCUGAAGUGGUCUGGGUGACUAUAGUGUCCCUUUAAGUAAAGUGAUUGUGAUCAUGUCACAGAGGAUGUAUAGCGCUGAGGAGGCGUAUAUCCUUGCGCUAGAGUCUGGCGCGUCUAUGUCUGACUCCGACCCUGAUUUUGACCCUGCCAGGUGCUCAGAUACAUCACUAGAUACAGUGUCUGCUGCUCGUAAUGUAUCUAGUUAUGAUGUAUCUGUGGCUGCUAGUCCCCCUGCCAAAAGGAGACGUGCUGCUCCAGCUGACAGUGGGUAGUGCCUCAUCGCCAGAGGCAAGAUAUCACUGCAAAUCCUGGCAUCAAUGUGGGUUUCGCAGGAUUGAGCCCUCAGCAGUUUAUGGAGGUGUUUCUGGGCGUUGAUGUAUUGGGGAACAUUGUCACCCAAACUAAUUUAUAUGCCCAUCAGUUCCGUGCUGCAAAGCCUGACUUUUUUGGCCUUAAUUUAAAAAAUUCUGGGCAUUGACUGUGCUGAUGGGCAUCAUAAAGAAGCCCUCCAGCUGCUCCUACUGGAGCAGUAGCCCCAUCGUCUCUACCCCCAUUUACUCCCAAUGUAUGUCGAGGAAGAGGUAUGAAAUGAUUCUACAUUUCAUACACUUCAACGACAACAGCCUGUGCCCCCCUAGGGAGCAUCCCCAGUUUGACAGGGCUGUAUAAAAUCCACCCCCUGAUUACCCACUUUGCUGCCAGGUUUGCAGAGGCUUAUACUCCGGGAAGGAAUAUAUGCAGGGAUGAAUCCAUGAUGAAGUAUAAUGGAAGGCUGGGAUUCAAGCAGUAUAUUCCUUCCAAGCGCUCCAGGUAUGGUGUAAAGGUGUAUAAGCUCUGUGAUAGCGAGGCUGGGUAUACUAAGACCUAGGUAUACGAGGGAAAGGAUGCCCACCUUGACCCUCCAGGUGUCCCAGAACAUAUGGGAACCAGUGGCAAGAUUGUCUGGGACCUGAUAUUGCCCCUGAUGAACAAAGGGUACUACUUGUAUACAGACAAUUUUUAACCAAGUGUCCCUUUGUUUAAGCUACUGUACUGUUUUAAUACAUUAGCUUGCGGAACAAUAAAAAAGAACUGCGCAGGUUUCCCAGGACAACUUGCACGCACCCGGCUACAAAGGGGGGAGACCUCAGCUCCGCACCAAGAGGAGCUGUUGGCAGUUAAGUACAGCGACAAGAAGGAUGUGUACCUUCUUACCACCAUCCACACUGAGAGGACUGUGGAGGUCUCUGUACCUGGCAGAGAUGAGAGCACAAGGAAGCCAGUGUGCAUCAAGGCCUAUAACCGGCUUAUGGGUGGGCUUCAUCUGGCAGAUCAUCUGCUGCAGUCCUACCUAAUUUUAUGCAAGACAAGGGCUUGGUACAAAGAGGUUGCAAUCUACUUAAUGCAGAUUGCAACCCACACACAAAAGGAAACCCCAGAAUGCAACUGACUUUUUUACAGUUUCAGCGCCAGAUCAUUUCGGGGAUUUUGUACUGUGAUGCACCUGCUCCCCGGGCGGUGAUGGGAGAGAGCAGAGUUGGGGGCUACACAUUUAUUUUUAAACCCCCCCCCUCCCCCCCCACUGCAGCAAAGCAGAAUCCUCCAAAAAGAUGCAAAGUCUGUUUUAAGAGGGGGCAGAGAAAAUAUACCGUAUAUUACUGUCCUGAUUGGCCUGGACUCUGCAUUGGGGACUGCUUCAAACGAUACCACACACUGGUCCAUUUUUUUUCAACAUUUGACAUUGUUUUUUGUUACAUUUAACCUAUGUAUGGGGGGCAUGGGUAUACUCAAGAGGCCUUGCAGAAAACAACCUGGAGUGUUUUCUUGCAAUAACCAGCAACAGGCUCUCCUAAAGUCAAAAAGCAAUGUGUGUGUAAAAUGAAAACUGAAAAAUUACCACUACACACUUUCUCCAUUUUUUUUGGCUAAAACGGUUGCAUCAAAGGCAUCAAAGCACUGCAUAUACAAUACCUCUGGGUUUCUACAUUUCAAAUAUAUACACUUUCAUGGCAAUAAAUAAAACUGGGGUACGUGAUAAGCCCCAAAGAUAGGCCUAUCAUAAGAAAUACUCUCAAUUUCAACUCAAAUUACAAGUCAUACAAUUGUAACUGAACAUUCACAAAAUCCUGGCAAACCUAUGCAUGGGGGGGCAUAGGUGUACUCAGGAGGCCUUGCAGAAAACAACCUGGAGUGUUUUUGUGCAAUAACCAAUGACAGGCUCCUAAAUCACACACAAAUGUGUUUGUAAAAAUGAAAACUGACAAAAACGAUUGCAUCAAAGGCAUCAAAACACUCCAUAUACAAUACCGUGGGGUGUCAACAUUUCAAAUAUAUGCACGCGCAUUGCAAGAAUAUAAAUUGGGAUAUCAAAAAGGCCCCCAAAAAGAAGAUAGGCAAAGAAUAUAUAUCAAAUUUGAAAAACACAUGUCAGAAGUUUGGCAUUGCACCCGCCCAAACAACCCAACAAACCUAUGCAUAGGUGGUAUCAUGGUACACAGAAAAUGUUGCUGAACACAUAUUGGGGUGUUCUGUGGCAGUAACACAUAUCAGGAACUGAGAAUCCAUGCUUAAAAUAGAAUGUGUGUGAAAAAUAACACAAUGACUACCCAAACGUUUGACAGAGACUGGUGGUAGAAUUAGUGCAUGGAAAGUGUUAAAAUACCACCAUUUGAAAUACCCUAGGGUAUCUACUUUUCAAAAACAUAUGGUUUGAUGGGGGCAAAUUACAUUGGCUGGCUUCAAAAAUGUCCCAAGUGGGACAUGGGUGUCUGAUGACCAGCUGUGAAAAUUCCUAAUAAUUUGGAAAACUGGAAUGUGCACCCUCCAAAUAAGGUCUUUUAGCCCCCAGAGAACCCAACACACCUAUACAUGGGGGAUAUCACUGUACUCAGGAGAUGUUGCUGAACACAUAUUGGGGUGUUCUUUGGCAGUAACCCUUAAAUGCAGUAUGGUCUUUGUUAAUCUUUGUGGGAAGACCAUUGAGACUAAUAUUUGUUUUUUAAACACUGUCAGACCCAAGGUGCAUGCAUAUGGUUGAAGGAUCUUGACAUAUGGUAAGGAUGAGAUGUGUGGUUUUUGUUAUUUAUUUAUAUUUUUAUUGAGGUUAUAGUACACUAACAUGCUUGAAUUUCCAGCAUGCGGUUGAAUAACAGUAAGACUUGUACAGAAUAAAUGUCAGGAUCUCAACUGUCAGAAAAAACUUGAUGAAAGGAUUGUAUUGCAUACUUUUGAGGUGACAGUUGUUUUUUUUUUUUUUUGUUUUUUUUUUUUUUAGGUCUGUUCCUUCUACCAGUAGUAGAUUUACAAGCUGAUGAUAUAGAGAUUUUGUCAGACUUCCAUACAAAAAAGUUAAAACAAAACUGAUCUAUAUAAUUUAUAACAUAAACAUGUGUGGUAAAAUCCUGAAACAGAACACAUUAGAGGAUUUUAUCCAGUUUGUCUUUUUAUCCUAAAAUGUGAAAUUCUUGACAAUUUGCAAUUCAGUGAAUAAAUUUAUACAAACCUACACCAUAUCACCAUUUAUAACAUUUUAAAAAAAACAAAAAAAAACCUGUAACCAUGUUAUAUUUGCUCGUGCAUUGUUUAUAUUAUUAUUUCUUUCUUUUAUUGCAGUGUAUUGGUUUUAACUGUGUUCUCAAUCCCUUGUCUAGAAAUUGUCCAUGAAGUGAACAUAUUUGGAUGCCUCUCCCUGCCGUCCUGUGAGAGUUCGAGUCAAUUGCCACCAUCUCUGUAAGAGCAUGAGUUUGUAGUAUCACAUUUGAUUUUUAGGUAUGCCCUGACAAGUUAUACUACUACUAACCUACUACUACUAACCUCCACUGAAAAAUGAACGAUAUAAAGGUUAAAAGGGGGUAGGGGGCAUACCACACAAGACAACACAUGUUUAUAACUCAUGUUAUUGCUUAUUGAUUAAGAACAAACAUCGUUUUUUUGUCUGCAGUAUUUAAAAGCUUAGAGAGCAUAACAACUCUCUUUUCUGGUCUUAAGGGAAAACCGCCAC
rnacentral:lncRNA from 1 species